rnacentral:sRNA from 1 species
CAGGCAAGUCAUCUCCAUACUAGCAUUUUACACUUAGCAUCUAUUUAAGAGCUAACUAGAGUAACAACCUCAUCAACUAAAACAUCGACUGGUUAUUGACUAGCUGACCAGUUAACGAACUACAGCGUAGUAAACUGCUCUGUAAUUUGUGCCAAAGUGCAUCUCACUAAGCGUACCUCCCAUUAGUGAGUGCACCACACUACAACAGAAUUCACACUGCAAUAGAAUUCUACCAACUAUUCUUAUUCCUCAUCUGCUCAUUAAUCAUCAUCACCAUGUCUAAAUCAUGAUAAUGAAUCAACAUCCCGAAAAGAAUGGUCAAUAUGAGGAGCUUAGAGAAAAUAGCAGUAACAUUGGAUUUUACAAUAGUAGGCUCUCAUGCUCUGCUUGGCGCCGGAAGCAUUGCUAAAUAUGUAUGUAGCUAUUGCUAAUUCGAAAUGUCCCGGUAGUUACUGGUUAGCC